UAUUUUAAAGAGAGUUUGAUCCUGGCUCAGGACGAACGCUGGCGGCGUGCCUAAUACAUGCAAGUCGAACGAACGGAGGAAGAGCUUGCUCUUCCAAUGUUAGUGGCGGACGGGUGAGUAACACGUGGGCAGCAUGCCUGUAAGUUGGGGAGAACUCCGGGAAACCGGGGCUAAUACCGAAUGAUAA
rnacentral:rRNA from 1 species